rfam:Triticum aestivum genome assembly, contig: Triticum_aestivum_CS42_TGACv1_scaffold_273149_3DS
AUAAUACUCCCUCUGUCCCAAAAUUCUUGUCUUAGAUUUGUCUAAAUACGGAUGUAUCUAGUUACGUUUUAGUAUUAGAUACAUCCGUAUCUAGACAAAUCUAAGAGAAGAAUUUUGGGACGGAGGGUGUUGUUA